GUGACUGCGUACCUUUUGUAUAAUGGGUCAGCGACUUAUAUUCUGUAGCAAGGUUAACCGAAUAGGGGAGCCGGAGGGAAACCGAGUCUUAAUUGGGCGUUAAGUUGCAGGGUAUAGACCCGAAACCCGGUGAUCUAGCCAUGGGCAGGUUGAAGGUUGGGUAACACUAACUGGAGGACCGAACCGACUAAUGUUGAAAAAUUAGCGGAUGACCUGUGGCUGGGGGUGAAAGGCCAAUCAAACCGGGAGAUAGCUGGUUCUCCCCGAAAGCUAUUUAGGUAGCGCCUCGUGAAUUCAUCUCCGGGGGUAGAGCACUGUUUCGGCUAGGGGGCCAUCCCGGCUUACCAACCCGAUGCAAACUGCGAAUACCGGAGAAUGUUAUCACGGGAGACACACGGCGGGUGCUAACGUCCGUCGUGAAGAGGGAAACAACCCAGACCGCCAGCUAAGGUCCCAAAGUCAUGGUUAAGUGGGAAACGAUGUGGGAAGGCCCAGACAGCCAGGAUGUUGGCUUAGAAGCAGCCAUCAUUUAAAGAAAGCGUAAUAGCUCACUGGUCGAGUCGGCCUGCGCGGAAGAUGUAACGGGGCUAAACCAUGCACCGAAGCUGCGGCAGCGACGCUUAUGCGUUGUUGGGUAGGGGAGCGUUCUGUAAGCCUGUGAAGGUGGCCUGUGAGGGUUGCUGGAGGUAUCAGAAGUGCGNACGUAUCACCCAAGACAACUUUACGGAGUUGACGAUUGACGGAGCGAAGCGACGUCAAAGCGUUCAUUAAAGUCGAGUUGGCUUAGGGAUACGUUCGUUGGGUAGGGGAGCGUUCUGUAAGCCUGCGAAGGUGGCCUGUGAGGGUUGCUGGAGGUAUCAGAAGUGCGAAUGCUGACAU
rnacentral:rRNA from 1 species